CAAAGCCUUGAACAAUGCAAAGAUCUUUCAAGUUUACCGGCAGCGCUUCCAGAGAAAGAGAAAGCGAGUGUGAAUUUAGUUUUGUUCUUUGCAUCCUGUCAUCCCUCAACAUCCAAGGGCUUCAGCUUGCUGCAGCCAGACUGUUGAGGACCCCCACGGAUUAACAUGAAGCCAGGAGACAGUAAGAGAUGAUCAGACGGCAAUCACAGAAGCAGACGCGUAAAGGAUCUUUUCAUUUCACCAGGCAUGAUAAAAACAAAGUCCUCUUCAAAAGAGUAGCAGUGACCUCAUUCAGACACGUUCAUUUCCAUGAAAGAGCACUGAGCCUCUAGGUGGGGAUGUGGUAAUGUGGGCAAGGCACGGAAGAGAACGCCAGGAGGCCUGAAGUGCAAUGCAGAG